GAUGAACGCUAGCGGCAGGCUUAACACAUGCAAGUCGAGGGGUAGAAGUUGCUUGCAACUGUGAGACCGGCGCACGGGUGCGUAACGCGUAUGCAAUCUACCUUAUACAGAGGGAUAGCCCAGAGAAAUUUGGAUUAAUACCUCAUAGUAUAAUUGAAUGGAAUCAUUUAAUUUUUCAAGUUCCAACGGUAUAAGAUGAGCAUGCGUACUAUUAGCUAGAUGGUAAGGUAACGGCUUACGAUGGCAACGAUAGGUAGGGGUCCUGAGAGGGAGAUCCCCCACACUGGUACUGAGACACGGACCAGAAUCCUACGGGAGGCAGCAGUGAGGAAUAUUGGACAAUGGGCGCAAGCCUGAUCCAGCCAUGCCGCGUGCAGGAAGAAGCAUCUAUGGUGUGUAAACUGCUUUUGUACGGGAAGAAACACUCCUUCGUGAAGGAGCUUGACGGUACCGUAAGAAUAAGGAUCGGCUAACUCCGUGCCAGCAGCCGCAGUAACAC
rnacentral:rRNA from 1 species